AAACGUUUGAAAUCAGUCAUGCGUGCGGGUAAUCAGCUUGGCCUUUGGGUCUUGUGCACUUUCUCGUAUCGCAGGUCAGCGUCGGUUUUGUUUGCCGGAUAAAUGCCAAGGGAAUGUAGCUCUACCUUUCA
rnacentral:rRNA from 1 species